AGGUCUCCAGCUUGGCCAUCUCCA
rnacentral:siRNA from 1 species